AUGUCAUCCCGUGAGGUGACGAAGACGCAGAAAUAUAUGAAAUUCUUUAAUGAGAUACCCCUCUCUUUAAAGAAGUCUUACUCUGAGAGCCUGUUGCUGUA
rnacentral:sRNA from 3 species